UACGGAGGAUCCGAGCGUUAUCCGGAUUUAUUGGGUUUAAAGGGUGCGCAGGCGGGAGAUUAAGUCGGCGGUGAAAUUUUGCAGCUCAACUGUAAAAGUGCCUUCGAAACUGGUUUCCUUGAGUGUAGAUGAAGUAGGCGGAAUUUGUGGUGUAGCGGUGAAAUGCAUAGAUAUCACGAGGAACUCCGAUUGCGCAGGCAGCUUACUAAACUACUACUGACGCUCAGGCACGAAGGCGUGGGGAUCAAACAGGAUUAGAUACCUCCGUA
rnacentral:rRNA from 1 species